UACGGAGGGUGCAAGCGUUAUCCGGAUUUACUGGGUUUAAAGGGUGCGUAGGCGGGUUGAUAAGUCAGUGGUGAAAUACUAUAGCUUAACUAUGGAACUGCCGUUGAUACUAUCAAUCUUGAAUACAGUGGAGGCGGGCGGAAUGUGUCAUGUAGCGGUGAAAUGCUUAGAUAUGACACAGAACACCUAUUGCGAAGGCAGCUCGCUACACUGUUAUUGACGCUGAUGCACGAAAGCGUGGGGAUCAAGCAGG
rnacentral:rRNA from 1 species